CCGCCGCCGGCCCCCGCGGCCGCCCGCCGGAGCCAGACUCGCUGCAGACAGGCGGCAGCCAGCGGGGCGGGCAGGGCGGGGGGAGGAGGAGGAGGAGAGGCUGGGGAUGAGUUGGAGGCAGGCACAGCCUCAGCGCAGGGCGAGCGGCUGCCGGAGACAGGCAGGGGGAGGAGGCGAGGCGCUCCGGAGGAGGCCGGCGCGGCGCGGGGGCGAGCGGCGGGGGCCGGCGGGAGGUGAGUGCUGCCCGCGGCGGCGGGGCCGGGGGCGGCCGGGGGGCGCCGCGUCACAAAGUGCUGGAGAAAGUGCGGCAGGCCCGACUCGAAGGUCUGUGAGCGUGCGAGGGACGAGGCGGCGGCGGCUGCCGUGGGGCUCUGGCGGCGCUCGCACACCCUGCCUGCCUUGGCGGGGGCACUGCCGGGGCCGCGCUGAGCGCGUCCCUCCGCGGCACCUGGGGCAGAACGUUAAAGUGAGACUUGAAAUGAGGAAUUGUUGGUUUCCCCUGCAUUGAAGGAGCAUUGUUGCAAGAGAGGAUUGUGGGUAAGAGGGGAUUGAAAGUUUUCUCUCUGAUUAUCCUGACCAAAAUUUAGUUAUUUUUCAGCUGCCCUGCAGUACCCUGUAGCGCUGUCUAGCGCUACCCUUCUACCAAAAACUAGUUUUAUGUCAGUGACACUGUCUGAAAUAAUUUGGAAUACAUUCCAAAUGUGAAUAUGAUGUGACAGAAGAAAGUAAAUAAUUAUUGAAAUAAUAGAGAAAUACCUUAAAAGUAUUUUAAUUUAGCACAGUCUCAAAGAGAAAUGAAGUGCUGAAAAGUGCCUGCCUGUCCAACAAGUCUUGCAUCAGGAGUCAAAGUUAUUGCCUUUAACUUGUGAGUGGUCUUGGAAAAGUGUUUUGUUGUUUUUUUUUUUUUUUUUUUUUUUCUGUCUGGUUUUUCAUGGUUUGAAACAGCUCCCUGCAAGUGCAUUGCCAGUUACAGAAUGCAAAUACUUCUAGGAGUUUGGAGAUGAAUUUUUCUGCAGAUUGGUUCUGUGGUAACCGUGAAAUUCUUCAAUGGCACCAAUCUAGUAUCAGCUGCUCGUUCAAGGCACUGGUGCCAGAACAGUGGUGCAUCAGUUGCUGGGAAUCCAAGCCUGUAGUGAAAUGAUUCAUGCAUAUACAUUUUUCUUUUCUCAGUUGACAGCUAUUUUUAAGAAUAGCUGUCUUGCCUAGAAGGUUGAUAUCUAAGCAAAGGCAGCCUAGAUAGCUAAAAAUUUCUUUCACACCAAACAUAAUCUUAGUACACUAAAACACUUAAAUGGAAUUGAUUUUAAUUGAUUCUUGCUGAAUCUCUGGUUCUAAUUGGCCAUUAUAAAGGGACUGUGGUGUUUUGGAGCUGAUGUCAGGAAGUUGGCAAUUUUUUGCACAAAGAAAGAUGAUGAGUUUGAAGUAGAUGUCAGUUUGAAGAAAUUUACAGUAAUAAAUGAGUAGUGAUAUCUAUAUGGUAGCA
rnacentral:lncRNA from 1 species